CCUGCUGAGCUCAGUUCUGGAGAGGGGUAGGGGACACAAUGCUUCUCAGAUGUGGGACCUUCAAAGCGCUAGUCCUCUGACAAUGCAACUGGGGAGCUAAGCGGAGGCAUGAAGGCUGUUCCCUUUCUGUAAGCCAGUGUCACCCCCAAAAGAAGGCUGCUUUGAUUUGUUAUCCAAGUCUCACUGGCCCUGUCCUGCUGAGUUAAUUUCCAUAGGGGGAAGGGAACACUGCUCAGAGUUGUGACAUUGGGAGUGAAUCUCCCUCAGAGACUCCAGUCCAGGGCUUGUGUAGGCAUUACUACAGAGCUAAGGGGAGGAGUGCAGCUUUCCCCACCUCCCACCCCCAGCAGAAGGCUUUCUCAAUCUGUUUGCCAAAGUCUGGGUAGCCCUACCAUUUUGAGCUUGCUCCUGCAAUGGGGACAGCUGGCUGCACAGAAUGUGAACCUGUGGUGCACUCCUCCCUGGGGAACCUAGAGUUGGAGACUCUAGCAGAGACUGACUGGCAUGGCUCUGGAGUAGGAGCCACAUUAUCCCCAUCUAGUGCCUGAUUACCCUGCUCCCAAGUAGGAAAGCCACUAGCCCCAUCCACCCAACCUGGUCGCCCUGCCCUAUCGAGCUUGUGUCAUGUGGAAAGGUCUGUGGGGCAUGGCCAGCUUAGGCCCACAAUACGGUUUUUCUUCAUAAGACUCUGGAAAAAGUCCAGGCAACCUCAAAAGGUGGCAGAGUAGCCAAUAAAUGGACACUGACCUCAGGGAGCCUUGAACCUUUUUUAUUGGUUGCCCCCACCCCCUCAGAGCUACAAGAUACUAAUUUCUGACAACGGCCUGGCCCCCUCCCCCACACACCCAGGCCCAGGAAAUGCAGCCACAAACAGUGACUAGCGUGGUGGCUCCAGACAGAUAGCCUAAGGCUGGUUACACAAAACGUCUGACAUCAACUUGCACCAGAACCCCAGCCAAGUGGGCCCAGAGCCAACAUAACUAGCAGCAGGCUUCAAACCACACCAGAGCUUGACCCAACUAGCCAAACAUAUGACACAGCCAAAGAGGUACUGUGGCAGGCAUCACACACUGUUGCAAACAACUCCGAAUUGGAGGGCAGCCCCUGCACAAUGACUCAUACAUGGUCAAUGAGGUCUAUUUUAUAGCCAGUCAGUCUGAGGGUUAACUCUACCCACAAAUGGGCCAAUAGCAUUCAAGACUCAAAUACAACAGGAGGGGGCAAAUAACCUACAUAAGACUCAUUUCUGGAGCACCUAUCUCAGAUGAUCUAGGAGACUGCACCACUAAGACCCACAAAGCACCUACAUCAGAAAGGCCUUAUAACAAUCUUGUGAGUCUGAGCAGAUCUACCUAAUACACAGAGACAAACACAAAAAAGGCAGAAAAAAAUGGGAGACAAAGAAAUAUGUCCCCAAUGAAAGAACAAAACAACCAAGAUACCAGAUGCAGUUUAAAACAAUGGUUAUAAGGAUGCUCAAGGACCUUAGGGAGAGGAUGGAUGACCUCAGUAAGAACUUAACAAUGAGAUAAUAAGCAUUAAAAAAACAUAGAAACCAUAAAAAAGAACCAGUCAGAAAUGAAGAAUAAACUAUAUGAAAUGAAGAAUACACUGGAAGGAAUCAACAGAAGGUUAGAUGAAGCAGAGGAUCAAAUAAGCUAUUUAGAAGACAAGAUAACUACAAGCACCCAAAAAUAACAACAAAAAGGGAAUAAAAAAAUGAGUCUGAGGGACCUGUGGGACAUCAAGAGUAACGACACCGGCAUCAUAGGAAUACCAGAAAAAAGAAGAAGCAAGGGAGAGAGAACCUGUUUGGAGAAAUAAUGGCUGAACUCUUCCCUAACCUGUGGAAGGAAAAAGUCACACAAGUUCAGAAAACUCAGAGUCCCAAUCCCAAAGAGCGCCACACCAAGCCAUAUUAUAAUUAAAAUGGCAGAGGCUAAAGACAAAGAGGAAAUCUUAAAUGCAGCAAGA